rnacentral:rRNA from 1 species
AACGUAGGACGCAAGCGUUAUCCGGAGUUACUGGGCGUAAAGCGCGGGCAGGCGGUCGGUCAAGUCUGAUGUGAAAUCUCUCCGCUCAACGGGGAGCAGCCAUUGGAAACUGGGCGACUGGAGUCUGACAGAGGUAGGCGGAAUUCCGGGUGGAGUGGUGAAAUGCGUAGAGAUCCGGAGGAACACCAGAGGCGAAGACGGCCUACUGGGUCAGUACUGACGCUGAGCCGCGAAAGCCAGGGGAGCGAACGGG